rnacentral:lncRNA from 1 species
CGUCAAGAUGGCGCUGUGAGCAGACGUUGAACUCGCCUCCUCCCACGAGCACAACCAGGUUACAACAAUUUUGGGGAGAAUCACCCUGGAUUAAAACUGAAAACUGGAUAAAAAGAACCCCCACGACAAGGGACAGUCCUGACGAAAGCAGAAGAGGCAGUAACUCCGGCCAGAGAGGAAAAAAGCCACUUUUGGGAGCAGCAGAGCUUCUCGGCUGGCCAGGCGGGAGCCACCCUAAGAAUGUAUAACUUUUCUUUCUGCAGCAUUCUAGGUAAUUUCUUCAACCUGUUUUUCAUGCCACACAUUCUCUCUUCAGCUGAGCCUAAUCUGCUUUUUAUCUUCAUCAUUGAGAUCCAAGAAAAACAUGACCUGAAUAUAAAAGUGAUUCUGGCCACUUCUAUUUCCCUGGAUGAAAAGCAAGUCUGGUUGGUGUGGAGCAGGAGACAUACAUAUAGCCAAUUACUGGAAAGAGGACUGGAAAAGUCUCAC